UGGGGAAUAUUGCACAAUGGGCGCAAGCCUGAUGCAGCCAUGCCGCGUGUGUGAAGAAGGCCUUCGGGUUGUAAAGCACUUUCAGCGAGGAGGAAGGUGGUGAGCUUAAUACGCUCAUCAAUUGACGUUACUCGCAGAAGAAGCACCGGCUAACUCCGUGCCAGCAGCCGCGGUAAUACGGAGGGUGCAAGCGUUAAUCGGAAUUACUGGGCGUAAAGCGCACGCAGGCGGUUUGUUAAGUCAGAUGUGAAAUCCCCGGGCUCAACCUGGGAACUGCAUUUGAAACUGGCAAGCUAGAGUCUCGUAGAGGGGGGUAGAAUUCCAGGUGUAGCGGUGAAAUGCGUAGAGAUCUGGAGGAAUACCGGUGGCGAAGGCGGCCCCCUGGACGAAGACUGACGCUCAGGUGCGAAAAGCGUGGGGAGCAAAACAGGAUUAGAUACCCUGGUAGUCCACGCUGUAAAACGAUGUCGAUUUUGGAGGUUGUGCCCUUGAGGCGUGGCUUCCGGAGCUAACGCGUUAAAUCGACCGCCUGGGGAGUACGGCCGCAAGGUUAAAACUUAAAGGAAUUGACGGGGUCUAGCUG
rnacentral:rRNA from 1 species